rnacentral:rRNA from 1 species
AUGGCGAACGUCGCCGAGCACCGCGUAAACAUGCCGGCGUAUCCUGCCGCUGGCAAAGCCGUCUCGCCGCCUGAGAUGGGCCUGAAUCGCUUCGUUCGCUUCGUCACGCUGAUGGAGAGGCUCGGCAACGCGCUGGGCACGCUGGCCUUCACGUGGGCCACCGUCGUCCUGCUCGGCGGCUACCCCACGGUGCUCCGUCCCGGGGACGAUUUUUGGUGUGCGGCAACUAUAGUUUUCCUAGAAGCCUUGAGAAUGUUAAGCCGCAGCAACAGGAUGGAUUACCAAUUGUUCUUCCGCACGAGAGGUGCUUUCAGGUCUCUUGGCUGGAAUGGGCAUAUCUCGCUCAUAUGCUUCGUCAAUGUUUUGUUGGGCAUUCUUGCUAUAUGGAACACUCAUACAGUAAUACUGAUAGUGAUUUUGUCAGUAGUGGGACUACUUGUGAUUGGUUCAAUUCUAUGCCCAGAAGCUGCAAUUCCACCCAUGUUACGCCGCAUGAUCUCAUUAUGGAGCCCAAUGGUUGCAAUCCUACUGCUUUGUCCCUCUGUAUGGCCCUUCUAUAAGUAUUCAAUCUUUCAAAGACAUAGCUCGGUUGCCAACUGCACAGUGUACUUGGUACUAUUUGUGGUAGUGCUCCUACUCACAAUCAGCAGGCUGAGGUUCCCAAGCAUCAACAAACUAGCAGACUGGAUUCUUGGCAGCAACAUAACAUUUUGGCAACGAGUUAUUCUGAACUUGUGCAUGUUUGUUGCGAUAGUGAUGUCUGUGUUCAGUUUUAAUAGAAGACGUAUAUAUUCACUGAUCACAUUGGACAUACUUGUUCUAGCGAUAACUUCAUUUGGCAAUCUCCAAAUUCCGGCAGCAGUAUUCCGAAUUGGUCUGGCACUGGGGCGCCUUAUAGUUAUCCAGAAAGAUUAUAAUGACCAGAAGAACCAUGAGAACACGAUAAACCUUCUGUCAUCUCUCUACAUCUUUUAUGCGAUGGUGCUUGGCCAAGGGAUACUCUAUAUUGUUGCCGGCAUCUUUGAGGUCUUUUCAUUCAUCCUACGAAGAUCACUCAUCCGUCGUGUUGGAUUUAGAGGACCCUCGGGAGUGAAAUAUGUCAAUUUGUACUACGCAUAUGUCUUCGACAGAUGCAUGGAAGGUGCUAUGCUUGGCCCAAAGAAGAUCAACGUCAUCAUAUUUGCAAUGGAUUCUAUAAAGUCAAACUCUCCCAAGAUGCAACUCUAUGGUCUUAAGAUGCUUCACAUCUUUCUAAAAAAGGAGCCCCUAAGGACUAUGGCCAUAUUAGAACUCACCACUUAUACACAGACAGUGACCUGCUUGAUCAACAUGUUGGGCAGGACAAGUGAGGGGGCUACAGAUAUUCGAUCAUUUGCUGCGAAGAUCAUGGCCGAGCUCGCUGAAAACCUCCGAGUUGUCCCUAUUCCUGGGGCGAUGUAG